AACGCACAUUGCGCCCCUUGGUAUUCCGAGGGGCAUGCCUGUUCGAGCGUCAUUACAACCCUCAAGCAUUGCUUGGUAUUGGGCUCCGCUGCUUACCCAGCGGGCCUUGAAAUCAGUGGCGGUGCCGUCGAGGCCCUGAGCGUAGUAAAUAUCCUCGCUUUAGGGACUCGGUGGACGCUGGCCAUCAACCCCCCAACUUUCUAAGUUUGACCUCGGAUCAGGUAGGGAUACCCGCUGAACUUAA
rnacentral:misc_RNA from 1 species